GCAUGAAGUUGGAAUUGCUAGUAAUCGCGAAUCAGAAUGUCGCGGUGAAUACGUUCCCGGGCCUUGUACACACCGCCCGUCACACCAUGAGAGUCGAUAACACCCGAAGCCUGUGAGCUAACCUUUUAGGAGGCAGCAGUCGAAGGUGGGGUUNAUGAUUGGGGUGAAGUCGUAACAAGGUAGC
rnacentral:rRNA from 1 species